rnacentral:lncRNA from 1 species
GAGAAUCCAACAUCGAAUUCGGAAUUACCCUGUGCAUAGCGGUCAACCCCAAUUCGAUAUGGAUCGGAGAAUAAUGAUUCAAAUCAUGGAUCAGGAAUGGGACGAAGCACUUAAGGGUGGAAUGUACCCUAUAGCAAAGUUAAAUCCAGUAGUUUAAGUGAGAGCGUUUGUCGAGGAACCCGAACGAAGUUAUUACGGGUAAGUUAAUGAUAAACUCUUGCAAAGUUUAUACCAUAUUAGAUACCAGUUCUACUUACUCUUUUAUUUCACCUAGUUGUGUUCAAUGUUUGAAGUUAACUCCGGAGAAGUUAGACUUUGAUAUAUCUGUUUAAACUCAGUUGGGAGAAACCUUCGUUACCUCUAUUAUUUAUAAAUCUUGUUCAAAUCAACACUUUCACGUUACCUGUCGAUCGUAUCUCUUUGAAAAUAUUUGCCUUUGAUGCGAUUUUAGGAAUCAAUUGGUUAACUAACCAUCAUGUUUUUUGUAAGGUUGUUAGCUUUCAUACUCCUAACCAACCUGUUAUGCGAAUUCAAGUAACCAAACCACUAAAGUCAAUCAUUGUCAUAUCAAGCCAUAAGUAAAGAGCCCCGGUCCUUUCAUUGUUGACUUCCUUGUGUGGAAUGCACCGAAGCCAAACUUUCCGUAGGGGACGUUGUGAAUAACGGUGAUAAGUUAAUAGGUAUCAAUGUGACGUGUUAUCCAAGUCUUGGACGAGAGUCACAGUUUUGAAUGAUAUUUCUAUUGUUAAUAAAUUUUCUGAUGUAUUCUUGAAGACUUCUUAGCCUGCCCCUAGAGCGUGAAAUCGAAUUUUGUAUUGACCCUAGUACAAAACCCAUUUUUAAAACCGUUAAAAAUAUUUCUUCAACUAAAGCGAACGUAACAUGCGCCAAAGACGUUGGCUCAAGCUGUUGAAGAUUACGAUCGUACCAUUCAAUAACAUCGUGGAAAAACGAACGUGGUAGCUGACGCGUUGAGUAGAAGAUCGUAUGCGUUUAUGAGUGCGAUGUUGUUAAUACAAAGGCCCAUUUCGUACGACUUACAAAUGAUGAAGAUAGAGUUAAAGACUCU